AGCAAUUCUUAUUUUAGGAUGGUGUCCUGAAAGCAGAAUGGAAAUGACUCAGCAAAAUGAAACAGAAAUAUAAGGGAUGUGUUUUGAUUCACCCAAAAAUUUUGACUGAAGAGAAGGUGAGCUCUGAUAUAGUGCUUUAGUGCACGGACUCAGAAAGUGGAUGAGCUAAGACAUUCAUGAAGCUGUGUAAGAGAGAAAGGCUCAUCACCUUUGCAGAUGACACAAGCCUUUUAUGCGGGAAUCAAAGAAGAACAUGAGAGGCCAGAACACCGGAUUGAAACCAGCAAUUUGACCUUUAAAAGGUAUAAAGUACUGCUUUUAGGUUUAAAUAGUUAACUGCACAAGCCAGAGACACACAGCUUGGUAGCACACUUCUAGCAAAAAAUCCUUUGCUUUUAAUUGACUGCAAGAUCAAUUUAUCUCCGAGUAGCCCAUGAGAGCUAAUACAUGAAACCCAAACUUAGCUUUACUAAUUGGUACAUAGUAGGGGUGCUACUCUUUUCUGCUGGUGUGAAAUCAUAACUGAAAUUUUGGACUCAGUUUCUAAUAAAAAUUUAGGAAGAACCUUAAUCAAUUGUAACUGCAGAAAAAAAAUCACAUGAUUUUGAGUGAAUUAAAUAUCAUGUUUUCUCAUUUUAUAAGCUAUGGUUAAAAAACUGGAUAUAUCCCAGAAAAAUGAAUUUUUAGAAAUUCGGUGGAACUGUGAUCUGAGAAAAUGGUUGUGAAAAUGGGA
rnacentral:lncRNA from 10 species